UUUCCGUAGGUGAACCUGCGGAAGGAUCAUUAUUGUAUAACCGAGGUGCGAGGGCUCUCGCUGACCCGAAAGUACGUGCACGCCCGAGUGCCCUCACAAACAUCCAUCUCACCCCUACGUGCACCACCGCGUGGGUCCCCCUUUGGCUUGUUGCGAGGGGGGCUCACGUUUUCACACACACUUUGAAUGCAGUGUAAAAUUUAUUUUUUGUUUUUGUGUUCACUCAAUCAAUACAACUUUCAACAACGGAUCUCUUGGCUCUC
rnacentral:misc_RNA from 1 species